UACGGAGGGUGCAAACGUUGCUCGGAAUCAUUGGGCGUAAAGCGCACGUAGGUGGCCUGUUAAGUCGGGUGUGAAAUCCCUGGGCUCGACCCAGGAAGUGCACUCGAAACUGGCAGGCUUGAGUACUGAAGAGGGUCGCGGAAUUCCCGGUGUAGAGGUGAAAUUCGUAGAUAUCGGGAGGAACACCAGUGGCGAAGGCGGCGACCUGGGCAGAUACUGACACUGAGGUGCGAAAGCGUGGGGAGCAAACAGG
rnacentral:rRNA from 1 species